UACGGCUCAGUAACACGUGGACAACCUGCCCUGAGGUGGGGGAUAACUCCGGAAAACUGGAGAUAAUACCCCAUAGUCUAUGAAUGCUGGAAUGCUUUGUAGGCGAAAGGUCAGCCGCCUCAGGAUGGGUCUGCGGCCGAUUAGGUAGUUGUUGGGGUAACGGCCCAACAAGCCUGUGAUCGGUACGGGUUGUGGGAGCAAGAGCCCGGAGAUGGAUUCUGAGACACGAAUCCAGGCCCUACGGGGCGCAGCAGGCGCGAAAACUUUACAAUGCAGGAAACUGUGAUAAGGGAACCCCGAGUGCCUGUAUGGACAGGCUGUUCAGGUGCGUAAAAAACACMUGGAGAAAGGACCGGGCAAGACCGGUGCCAGCCGCCGCGGUAAUACCGGCGGCUCGAGUGGUGGCCACUUUUAUUGGGCUUAAAGCGUUCGUAGCUGGGUUGUUAAGUCUCUUGGGAAAUCCGGCGGCUUAACCGUCGGGCGUCUAAGAGAUACUGGCAAUCUUGGAACCGGGAGAGGUGAGGGGUACUUCGGGGGUAGGAGUGAAAUCCUGUAAUCCUCGAGGGACCACCUGUGGCGAAGGCGCCUCACCAGAACGGCUUCGACAGUGAGGGACGAAAGCUGGGGGAGCAAACCGGAUUAGAUACCCGGGUAGUCCCAGCCGUAAACGAUGUGCGUUAGSUGUUCACGACCACGAGUCGUCGAGGUGCCGAAGGGAAACCGUGAAACGUACCGCCUKGGAA
rnacentral:rRNA from 1 species